AACGAACGCUGGCGGCAUGCCUAACACAUGCAAGUCGAACGAGACCUUCGGGUCUAGUGGCGCACGGGUGCGUAACGCGUGGGAACCUGCCCUUAGGUUCGGAAUAACUCCCCGAAAGGGGUGCUAAUACCGGAUAAUGUCUUCGGACCAAAGAUUUAUCGCCUUUGGAUGGGCCCGCGUUGGAUUAGCUAGUUGGUAGGGUAAAAGCCUACCAAGGCGACGAUCCAUAGCUGGUCUGAGAGGAUGAUCAGCCACACUGGGACUGAGACACGGCCCAGACUCCUACGGGAGGCAGCAGUGGGGAAUAUUGGACAAUGGGCGAAAGCCUGAUCCAGCAAUGCCGCGUGAGUGAUGAAGGCCUUAGGGUUAUAAAGCUCUUUUACCUGGGAUGAUAAUGACAGUACCGGGAGAAUAAGCUCCGGCUAACUCCGUG
rnacentral:rRNA from 1 species